rnacentral:hammerhead_ribozyme from 1 species
AUUCAGCUGACAAGUCCCGAAUAGGAUGAAACGCGCGUCCUGGAU